CUUAGUGGCGGACGGGUGAGUAACGCGUGGGGAACCUGCCUUGCACCGGGGGAUAACACUUAGAAAUAGGUGCUAAUACCGCAUAAGCGCACAGAGCCGCAUGGCUCGGUGUGAAAAACUCCGGUGGUGCAAGAUGGACCCGCGUCUGAUUAGCUGGUUGGCGGGGUAACGGCCCACCAAGGCGACGAUCAGUAGCCGGCCUGAGAGGGUGAACGGCCACAUUGGGACUGAGACACGGCCCAAACUCCUACGGAAGGCAGCAG
rnacentral:rRNA from 1 species